GGGUUGUGAGGUUAAGCGACUAAGCGUACACGGUGGAUGCCCUGGCAGUCAGAGGCGAUGAAGGACGUGCUAAUCUGCGAAAAGCGUCGGUAAGGUGAUAUGAACCGUUAUAACCGGCGAUGUCCGAAUGGGGAAACCCAGUGCAAUUCGUUGCACUAUCGUUAACUGAAUACAUAGGUUAACGAGGCGAACCGGGGGAACUGAAACAUCUAAGUACCCCGAGGAAAAGAAAUCAACCGAGAUUCCCCCAGUAGCGGCGAGCGAACGGGGAGCAGCCCAGAGUCUGAAUCAGCUUGUGUGUUAGUGGAACGGUCUGGAAAGUCCGACGGUACAGGGUGAUAGUCCCGUACACCAAAAUGCACAGGUUGUGAACUCGAAGAGUAGGGCGGGACACGUGGUAUCCUGUCUGAAUAUGGGGGGACCAUCCUCCAAGGCUAAAUACUCCUGACUGACCGAUAGUGAACCAGUACCGUGAGGGAAAGGCGAAAAGAACCCCGGCGAGGGGAGUGAAAAAGAACCUGAAACCGUGUACGUACAAGCAGUGGGAGCACCUUCGGGUGUGACUGCGUACCUUUUGUAUAAUGGGUCAGCGACUUAUAUUCUGUAGCAAGGUUAACCGUAUAGGGGAGCCGCAGGGAAACCGAGUCUUAACUGGGCGUUAAGUUGCAGGGUAUAGACCCGAAACCCGGUGAUCUAGCCAUGGGCAGGUUGAAGGUUGGGUAACACUAACUGGAGGACCGAACCGACUAAUGUUGAAAAAUUAGCGGAUGACUUGUGGCUGGGGGUGAAAGGCCAAUCAAACCGGGAGAUAGCUGGUUCUCCCCGAAAGCUAUUUAGGUAGCGCCUCGUGAAUUCAUCUUCGGGGGUAGAGCACUGUUUCGGCUAGGGGGUCAUCCCGACUUACCAACCCGAUGCAAACUACGAAUACCGAAGAAUGUUAUCACGGGAGACACACGGCGGGUGCUAACGUCCGUCGUGAAGAGGGAAACAACCCAGACCGCCAGCUAAGGUCCCAAAGUCAUGGUUAAGUGGGAAACGAUGUGGGAAGGCACAGACAGCCAGGAUGUUGGCUUAGAAGCAGCCAUCAUUUAAAGAAAGCGUAAUAGCUCACUGGUCGAGUCGGCCUGCGCGGAAGAUGUAACGGGGCUAAACCAUGCACCGAAGCUGCGGCAGCGACACUAUGUGUUGUUGGGUAGGGGAGCGUUCUGUAAGCCUGCGAAGGUGUGCUGUGAGGCAUGCUGGAGGUAUCAGAAGUGCGAAUGCUGACAUAAGUAACGAUAAAGCGGGUGAAAAGCCCGCUCGCCGGAAGACCAAGGGUUCCUGUCCAACGUUAAUCGGGGCAGGGUGAGUCGACCCCUAAGGCGAGGCCGAAAGGCGUAGUCGAUGGGAAACAGGUUAAUAUUCCUGUACUUGGUGUUACUGCGAAGGGGGGACGGAGAAGGCUAUGUUAGCCGGGCGACGGUUGUCCCGGUUUAAGCAUGUAGGCUGGUUAUCCAGGCAAAUCCGGAUAAUCAAGGCUGAGGUGUGAUGACGAGGCACUACGGUGCUGAAGUAACAAAUGCCCUGCUUCCAGGAAAAGCCUCUAAGCAUCAGGUAACAUUAAAUCGUACCCCAAACCGACACAGGUGGUCAGGUAGAGAAUACCAAGGCGCUUGAGAGAACUCGGGUGAAGGAACUAGGCAAAAUGGUGCCGUAACUUCGGGAGAAGGCACGCUGGUGUGUAGGUGAAGUCCCUGCGGAUGGAGCUGAGACCAGUCGAAGAUACCAGCUGGCUGCAACUGUUUAUUAAAAACACAGCACUGUGCAAACACGAAAGUGGACGUAUACGGUGUGACGCCUGCCCGGUGCCGGAAGGUUAAUUGAUGGGGUUAUCCGUAAGGAGAAGCUCUUGAUCGAAGCCCCGGUAAACGGCGGCCGUAACUAUAACGGUCCUAAGGUAGCGAAAUUCCUUGUCGGGUAAGUUCCGACCUGCACGAAUGGCGUAAUGAUGGCCAGGCUGUCUCCACCCGAGACUCAGUGAAAUUGAACUCGCUGUGAAGAUGCAGUGUACCCGCGGCAAGACGGAAAGACCCCGUGAACCUUUACUAUAGCUUGACACUGAACAUUGAGCCUUGAUGUGUAGGAUAGGUGGGAGGCUUUGAAGCGUGGACGCCAGUCUGCGUGGAGCCAACCUUGAAAUACCACCCUUUAAUGUUUGAUGUUCUAACGUUGGCCCCUGACCGGGGUUGCGGACAGUGUCUGGUGGGUAGUUUGACUGGGGCGGUCUCCUCCCAAAGCGUAACGGAGGAGCACGAAGGUUAGCUAAUCCUGGUCGGACAUCAGGAGGUUAGUGCAAUGGCAUAAGCUAGCUUGACUGCGAGCGUGACGGCGCGAGCAGGUGCGAAAGCAGGUCAUAGUGAUCCGGUGGUUCUGAAUGGAAGGGCCAUCGCUCAACGGAUAAAAGGUACUCCGGGGAUAACAGGCUGAUACCGCCCAAGAGUUCAUAUCGACGGCGGUGUUUGGCACCUCGAUGUCGGCUCAUCACAUCCUGGGGCUGAAGUAGGUCCCAAGGGUAUGGCUGUUCGCCAUUUAAAGUGGUACGCGAGCUGGGUUUAGAACGUCGUGAGACAGUUCGGUCCCUAUCUGCCGUGGGCGCUGGAGAAUUGAGGGGGGCUGCUCCUAGUACGAGAGGACCGGAGUGGACGCAUCACUGGUGUUCGGGUUGUCAUGCCAAUGGCACUGCCCGGUAGCUAAAUGCGGAAGAGAUAAGUGCUGAAAGCAUCUAAGCACGAAACUUGCCCCGAGAUGAGUUCUCCCUGAGACUUUAAGUCUCCUGAAGGAACGUUAAAGACGAUGACGUUGAUAGGCCGGGUGUGUAAGCGCAGCGAUGCGUUGAGCUAACCGGUACUAAUGAACCGUGAGGCUUAACCUUACAACGCCGAAG
rnacentral:rRNA from 2 species